rnacentral:rRNA from 1 species
CACGCAGUAAACGAUGAAUACUAACUGUUUGCGAUAUACAGUAAGCGGUACAGCGAAAGCGUUAAGUAUUCCACCUGGGGAGUACGUUCGCAAGAAUGAAACUCAAAGGAAUUGACGGGGGCCCGCACAAGCGGAGGAACAUGUGGUUUAAUUCGAUGAUACGCGAGGAACCUUACCCGGGCUUGAAAUGCAUCUGACGUAUUUGGAAACAGAUAUUCUAGCAAUAGCAGAUGUGUAGGUGC